rnacentral:rRNA from 1 species
CCUACGGGUGGCAGCAGUGGGGAAUAUUGCACAAUGGGCGAAACCCUGAUGCAGCGACGCCGCGUGAGUGAAGAAGGACUUCUGUAUGUAAAGCCCUUUCAGCAGGGAAGAAAAUGACGGUACUUGUGCACUCCUCCAUGGCCAAUUCCGUUCCAGCAGCCGCGGUCAUACGGAGGGGGCAAGCGUUCUCCGGAUUUACUGGGUGUAAAGGGAGCGUAGACGGCAGGGCAAGUCUGAAGUGAAAGUCGGGGGCUCAACCUCCGGAUUGCUGUGGAAACUGGCAGGCUGGAGUGUAGUAGAGGGGAGCAGAAUUCCUGGUGUAGCGGUGAAAUGCAUAGAUAUCAGGAGGAACACCGGUGGCGAAGGCGGCCUACUGGACAGUGACUGACGCUGAGGCUCGAAAGCGUGGGGAGCAAACAGGAUUAGAUACCCCAGUAGUC